GACGAACGCUGGCGGCGUGCCUAACACAUGCAAGUCGAACGGGACCGGGGGCAACUCCGGUUCAGUGGGCGAACGGGUGCGUAACACGUGAGGAACUUGUCUUUCGCGGGGGAUAGCCGGCCCAACGGCCGGGUAAGUACCGCGUACGCGUCUUCGGGGGCGAUCUCCUGGAGAGGAAAGCAGCAAUGCGACCGAAAAGAGAGUCUCGCGGCCUAUCAGCUAGUUGGUGAGGUCAUGGCUCACCAAGGCGACGACGGGUAGGCUGGUCUGAGAGGAUGGCC
rnacentral:rRNA from 1 species